CUCUCUCUCUGUGUGUGUGUGUGUCCAAUAUCCAAAGCUCAUCUAGCAAUAUCAAAGGAAGAAGAGAGAAUUAAUUAACCAACCUACUACAAUCAUCACUUGUUGUCAAUGGUGACCCUGAAAGCAGGGACCAGACCACCAUGGGUAGGACUUGGAGCGGCUGUCUGGUUGCAAAUAGCGUCAGGGAAUUCCUACAAUUUCGCUCUCUAUUCCCAUUCCUUGAAAUCUGUCCUUGGUUUUAACCAGCAGCAGCUUACCAUGCUUGGGGUUGCUAAUGAUAUUGGUGGGAAUGUUGGACUCCUCCCUGGUAUUGCCUGCAACAAGUUCCCUCCUUGGUCCAUUCUCUUGAUCGGUGCUUUUGCUUGUUUCUUUGGUUAUGGUGUUCUCUGGCUCGCUCUUAGCCGCACUGUUCAGUCUAUGCCUUAUUGGUUGCUA
rnacentral:misc_RNA from 1 species